UCUAACAGCUAUGUCUGAUAUAGAUACGAAACUUCAGUAUGUCUUGGGGUGCUUUUGGAACGAUUUUGAAGGUGGUGUUUAAUUUGGAGGCCAAGUUUGGUGGUUAUAGUUCAUUUUUAACUGGUUAUCAACAGUCUCCAGAUAUGUCUCCCCCAAGGACUCUACACAAAGGCCAACAGUACAAUGCAUUUAGAUCAAACAAUUUGCAAGCGGAGCCAAAGAAUUUGCAAGUGAAGGCGAAGGCAUUAAAAGAGCUCGUUGAAUGCAGAUCAUACAUAUUCCUCUAUCAAUUGAUUUUUGGUCAUAUCUCCUCUAUGUAGUUCUUGGGGAUCUGUCAAGUCUCCUCAAACUCAAAAUUUGGCAAGUUCACGUGUGCACAAGGAUGGUCAUGAGUACUUUAGGCAUCAAGAUUCUUAUGAAACUAGGAGCAAAAGGAAUAUCUUGUCAUGGAACAAGGCUGCUUCUGCAGCUAAACAUGAUGGUCAUGCAAGGGAAAAGUACGGGCAAAAGUUGAACCUGAAAGUUAAGUACCCAAGGUAUGUUCACAAGGCUUCAAAAAUCCUCAGUUCCAAUAAUUCAAGGGUUUCUGGUGAACAGUAUCAUUAUCAAUUUACCUCACAUCAAGCGUCCGUUGAUCAAACGUACAACAUUCCAUCUCCAAAUCUUGUUAA
rnacentral:misc_RNA from 1 species